CCUACGGGAGGCAGCAGUGAGGAAUAUCGGUCAAUGGACGAGAGUCUGAACCAGCCAAGUAGCGUGAAGGAUGACUGCCCUAUGGGUUGUAAACUUCUUUUAUAUGGGAAUAAAACGUUCCACGUGUGGGAUUUUGUAUGUACCAUAUGAAUAAGGAUCGGCUAACUCCGUGCCAGCAGCCGCGGUAAUACGGAGGAUCCGAGCGUUAUCCGGAUUUAUUGGGUUUAAAGGGAGCGUAGGUGGAUGGUUAAGUCAGUUGUGAAAGUUUGCGGCUCAACCGUAAAAUUGCAGUUGAAACUGGCAGUCUUGAGUACAGUAGAGGUGGGCGGAAUUCGUGGUGUAGCGGUGAAAUGCUUAGAUAUCACGAAGAACUCCGAUUGCGAAGGCAGUUCACUGGACUGCAACUGACACUGAGGCUCGAAAGUGUGGGUAUCAAACAGGAUUAGAUACCCUUGUAGUC
rnacentral:rRNA from 1 species